UUAAGCGACUAAGCGUACACGGUGGAUGCCCUGGCAGUCAGAGGCGAUGAAGGACGUGCUAAUCUGCGAUAAGCGUCGGUGAGGUGAUAUGAACCGUUAUAACCGGCGAUUUCCGAAUGGGAAACCCAGUGUGUUUCGACACACUAUCAUUAACUGAAUCCAUAGGUUAAUGAGGCGAACCGGGGGAACUGAAACAUCUAAGUACCCCGAGGAAAAGAAAUCAACCGAGAUUCCCCCAGUAGCGGCGAGCGAACGGGGAGGAGCCCAGAGCCUGAAUCAGUGUGUGUGUUAGUGGAAGCGUCUGGAAAGGCGCGCGAUACAGGGUGACAGCCCCGUACACAAAAAUGCACAUAUUGUGAGCUCGAUGAGUAGGGCGGGACACGUGGUAUCCUGUCUGAAUAUGGGGGGACCAUCCUCCAAGGCUAAAUACUCCUGACUGACCGAUAGUGAACCAGUACCGUGAGGGAAAGGCGAAAAGAACCCCGGCGAGGGGAGUGAAAAAGAACCUGAAACCGUGUACGUACAAGCAGUGGGAGCCUCUUAAUGGGGUGACUGCGUACCUUUUGUAUAAUGGGUCAGCGACUUAUAUUCUGUAGCAAGGUUAACCGAAUAGGGGAGCCGAAGGGAAACCGAGUCUUAACUGGGCGUUAAGUUGCAGGGUAUAGACCCGAAACCCGGUGAUCUAGCCAUGGGCAGGUUGAAGGUUGGGUAACACUAACUGGAGGACCGAACCGACUAAUGUUGAAAAAUUAGCGGAUGACUUGUGGCUGGGGGUGAAAGGCCAAUCAAACCGGGAGAUAGCUGGUUCUCCCCGAAAGCUAUUUAGGUAGCGCCUCGUGAAUUCAUCUCCGGGGGUAGAGCACUGUUUCGGCAAGGGGGUCAUCCCGACUUACCAACCCGAUGCAAACUGCGAAUACCGGAGAAUGUUAUCACGGGAGACACACGGCGGGUGCUAACGUCCGUCGUGAAGAGGGAAACAACCCAGACCGCCAGCUAAGGUCCCAAAGUCAUGGUUAAGUGGGAAACGAUGUGGGAAGGCCCAGACAGCCAGGAUGUUGGCUUAGAAGCAGCCAUCAUUUAAAGAAAGCGUAAUAGCUCACUGGUCGAGUCGGCCUGCGCGGAAGAUGUAACGGGGCUAAACCAUGCACCGAAGCUGCGGCAGCGACACUAUGUGUUGUUGGGUAGGGGAGCGUUCUGUAAGCCUGUGAAGGUGGCCUGUGAGGGUUGCUGGAGGUAUCAGAAGUGCGAAUGCUGACAUAAGUAACGAUAAAGCGGGUGAAAAGCCCGCUCGCCGGAAGACCAAGGGUUCCUGUCCAACGUUAAUCGGGGCAGGGUGAGUCGACCCCUAAGGCGAGGCCGAAAGGCGUAGUCGAUGGGAAACAGGUUAAUAUUCCUGUACUUGGUGUUACUGCGAAGGGGGGACGGAGAAGGCUAUGUUGGCCGGGCGACGGUUGUCCCGGUUUAAGCGUGUAGGCUGGUUUUCCAGGCAAAUCCGGAAAAUCAAGGCUGAGGCGUGAUGACGAGGCACUACGGUGCUGAAGCGACAAAUGCCCUGCUUCCAGGAAAAGCCUCUAAGCAUCAGGUAACAUCAAAUCGUACCCCAAACCGACACAGGUGGUCAGGUAGAGAAUACCAAGGCGCUUGAGAGAACUCGGGUGAAGGAACUAGGCAAAAUGGUGCCGUAACUUCGGGAGAAGGCACGCUGAUAUGUAGGUGAAGCGACUUGCUCGUGGAGCUGAAAUCAGUCGAAGAUACCAGCUGGCUGCAACUGUUUAUUAAAAAACACAGCACUGUGCAAACACGAAAGUGGACGUAUACGGUGUGACGCCUGCCCGGUGCCGGAAGGUUAAUUGAUGGGGUUAGCGGUAACGCGAAGCUCUUGAUCGAAGCCCCGGUAAACGGCGGCCGUAACUAUAACGGUCCUAAGGUAGCGAAAUUCCUUGUCGGGUAAGUUCCGACCUGCACGAAUGGCGUAAUGAUGGCCAGGCUGUCUCCACCCGAGACUCAGUGAAAUUGAACUCGCUGUGAAGAUGCAGUGUACCCGCGGCAAGACGGAAAGACCCCGUGAACCUUUACUAUAGCUUGACACUGAACAUUGAGCCUUGAUGUGUAGGAUAGGUGGGAGGCUUUGAAGUGUGGACGCCAGUCUGCAUGGAGCCGGCCUUGAAAUACCACCCUUUAAUGUUUGAUGUUCUAACGUUGGCCCGUAAUCCGGGUUGCGGACAGUGUCUGGUGGGUAGUUUGACUGGGGCGGUCUCCUCCUAAAGAGUAACGGAGGAGCACGAAGGUUGGCUAAUCCUGGUCGGACAUCAGGAGGUUAGUGCAAUGGCAUAAGCCAGCUUGACUGCGAGCGUGACGGCGCGAGCAGGUGCGAAAGCAGGUCAUAGUGAUCCGGUGGUUCUGAAUGGAAGGGCCAUCGCUCAACGGAUAAAAGGUACUCCGGGGAUAACAGGCUGAUACCGCCCAAGAGUUCAUAUCGACGGCGGUGUUUGGCACCUCGAUGUCGGCUCAUCACAUCCUGGGGCUGAAGUAGGUCCCAAGGGUAUGGCUGUUCGCCAUUUAAAGUGGUACGCGAGCUGGGUUUAGAACGUCGUGAGACAGUUCGGUCCCUAUCUGCCGUGGGCGCUGGAGAACUGAGGGGGCUGCUCCUAGUACGAGAGGACCGGAGUGGACGCAUCACUGGUGUUCGGGUUGUCAUGCCAAUGGCACUGCCCGGUAGCUAAAUGCGGAAGAGAUAAGUGCUGAAAGCAUCUAAGCACGAAACUUGCCCGAGAUGAGUUCUCCCUGACCCUUUAAGGGUCCUGAAGGAACGUUGAAGACGACGACGUUGAUAGGCCGGGUGUGUAAGCGCAGCGAUGCGUUGAGCUAACCGGUACUAAUGAACCGUGAGGCUUAACCUU
rnacentral:rRNA from 1 species